rnacentral:rRNA from 1 species
GUCCAUGCUGUAAACGAUGAGAACUGGGUGUUGCGGGUAUUGACCCCUGCGGUGCCGAAGCCAACGCGUUAAGUUCUCCGCCUGGGAAGUACGGCCGCAAGGCUAAAACUCAAAGGAAUUGACGGGGCCCGCACAAGCGGUGGAGCAUGUGGUUUAAUUCGACGCAACGCGAAGAACCUUACCCGGGCUCGAAAGUGCUGGAACCUGGCUGAAAAGCCGGGGUGCUCGCAAGAGAGCCAGUGUCCAGGUGCUGCAUGGCUGUCGU